UAGUGAUCCGGUGGUUCUGAAUGGAAGGGCCAUCGCUAGUGAUCCGGUGGUUCUGAAUGGAAGGGCCAUCGCUCAACGGAUAAAAGGUACUCCGGGGAUAACAGGCUGAUACCGCCCAAGAGUUCAUAUCGACGGCGGUGUUUGGCACCUCGAUGUCGGCUCAUCACAUCCUGGGGCUGAAGUAGGUCCCAAGGGUAUGGCUGUUCGCCAUUUAAAGUGGUACGCGAGCUGGGUUUAGAACGUCGUGAGACAGUUCGGUCCCUAUCUGCCGUGGGCGCUGGAGAAUUGAGGGGGGCUGCUCCUAGUACGAGAGGACCGGAGUGGACGCAUCACUGGUGUUCGGGUUGUCAUGCCAAUGGCACUGCCCGGUAGCUAAAUGCGGAAGAGAUAAGUGCUGAAAGCAUCUAAGCACGAAACUUGCCCCGAGAUGAGUUCUCCCUGAGACUWUAAGUCUCCUGAAGGAACGUUAAAGACGAUGACGUUGAUAGGCCGGGUGUGUAAGCGCAGCGAUGCGUUGAGCUAACCGGUACUAAUGAACCGUGAGGCUUAACCUU
rnacentral:rRNA from 1 species